rnacentral:misc_RNA from 1 species
AGCAGCCGCGGUAAUUCCAGCUCCAAUAGCGUAUAUUAAAGUUGUUGCAGUUAAAAAGCUCGUAGUUGAAUUUCGGGAUCAGUAUGUUGGUCGUGCUUCGGUACGUACUGUCAUUACUGGUUUCUACCUUCUGAAGAACCUGAUGUCAUUAAUUUGGUGUCUUGGGGAAUCAGGACUGUUACUUUGAAAAAAUUAGAGUGUUUAAAGCAAGCAUACGCUUGAAUACAUUAGCAUGGAAUAAUGAAAUAGGACGUUUGAUUCUAUUUUGUUGGUUUCUAGGAUCGACGUAAUGAUUAAUAGGGAUAGUUGGGGGGCAUUAGUAUUCAAUUGUCAGAGGUGAAAUUCUUGGAUUUAUUGAAGACUAACUACUGCGAAAGCAUUUGCCAAGGAUGUUUUCAUUAAUCAAGAACGAAAGUUAGGGGAUCGAAGACGAUCAGAUACCGUCGUAGUCUUAACCAUAAACUAUGCCGACUAGGGAUCGGAUGAUGUUAUUUUUUAAUGACUCAUUCGGCGCCUUACG